rnacentral:lncRNA from 1 species
CUGGGACCCUCACCCACAUGCUCUCUGCCCACUGCACAGGAGCCUAUUCAAGCUCAGAUCCAGCACCUGGGCUCCCCCUGUGUGCUGUGAGUUAUCUGUGUGCCUUAAUUCCAGUCCCCUGCUCUCCCCAGUGUGAUGUAUGUAUGUCCUGCAUUGGUGGCAAAUCCCAGUUUAUUUCUUAGCCUUUGGCUGAAGAUCAGCAGAUGGUUGAUGGGUUCUGUUGCUAUUUAUAAAAAUGGCAGAUCUAAUCAGGGAGAUGAGUGAACUCUUGCUAAGAGGGGACUGAUUUCAAUGUACAGGGUGUCUGUUGUUUUCAUAAGCACUUGUUUCAUGAGAUUCAGGAGAGUUUUCAUUGUCUUCUGGAAGGUGUGGUUUAACAAGAGACUUGUUGAAAGAGAAGUUUUCUUGAUUGACUCUUUUAAAAGAUCUCAGUCAGUUUGCAGAGGAGGCUUGGGAAAAAACUUGGCAAGACUGGAAAGCCACUGCACAAGGCGCUCCCUGGGAUGUGAAGGUUGCAGAGAGGAGUAG